rnacentral:rRNA from 1 species
UACGUAGGGGGCUAGCGUUGUCCGGAUUUAUUGGGCGUAAAGAGCGUGUAGGCGGCCAGGUAGGUCCGUUGUGAAAACUCGAGGCUCAACCUCGAGACGUCGGCGGAAACCCUCUGGCUAGAGUCCGGAAGAGGAGAGUGGAAUUCCUGGUGUAGCGGUGAAAUGCGCAGAUAUCAGGAAGAACACCUAUGGCGAAGGCAGCUCUCUGGGACGGUACUGACGCUGAGACGCGAAAGCGUGGGGAGCGAACAGG